rnacentral:rRNA from 1 species
UACGGGGGGGGCAAGCGUUGUUCGGAAUUACUGGGCGUAAAGGGCUCGUAGGCGGCCAACUAAGUCAUACGUGAAAUCCCUCGGCUUAACCGGGGAACUGCGUCUGAUACUGGAUGGCUUGAGAUUGGGAGAGGGAUGCGGAAUUCCAGGUGUAGCGGUGAAAUGCGUAGAUAUCUGGAGGAACACCGGUGGCGAAGGCGGCAUCCUGGACCGGCAUUGACGCUGAGGCGCGAAAGCGUGGGGAGCGAACAGG